rnacentral:misc_RNA from 1 species
GAUGAAGAACGCAGCGAAAUGCGAUAAGUAAUGUGAAUUGCAGAAUUCAGUGAAUCAUCGAAUCUUUGAACGCACAUUGCGCCCCCCAGUAUUCUGGCGGGCAUGCCUGUUCGAGCGUCAUUUCAACCAUCAAGCCCUGCUUGUGUUGGGGUCCUGCGGCUGCCCGCAGGCCCUGAAAACCAGUGGCGGGCUCGCUAGUCACACCGAGCGCAGUAGCACAUCUCGCUCAGGGCGUGCUGCGGGUUCCGGCCGUAAAAAGCCUUAUUUACCCAAGGUUGACCUCGGAUCAGGUAGGAAGACCCGCUGAACUUAAGCAUAUCAAUAAGCGGAGGA